rnacentral:rRNA from 1 species
GMUGRCGACCGGCGCACGGGUGAGUAACACGUAUCCAACCURCCGYUUACUCGGGGAUAGCCUUUCGAAAGAAAGAUUAAUACCCGAUGGUAUAAAGAGUUCGCAUGUUCUCUUUAUUAAAGAAUUUCGGUAAGCGAUGGGGAUGCGUUCCAUUAGAUAGUUGGCGGGGUAACGGCCCACCAAGUCUACGAUGGAUAGGGGUUCUGAGAGGAAGGUCCCCCACAUUGGAACUGAGACACGGUCCAAACUCCUACGGGAGGCAGCAGUGAGGAAUAUUGGUCAAUGGACGMGAGUCUGAACCAGCCAAGUAGCGUGAAGGAUGACUGCCCUAUGGGUUGUAAACUUCUUUUAUAAGGGAAUAAAGUGAGGGACGUGUCCCUUUUUGUAUGUACCUUAUGAAUAAGGAUCGGCUAACUCCGUGCCAGCAGCCGCGGUAAUACGGAGGAUCCAAGCGUUAUCCGGAUUUAUUGGGUUUAAAGGGAGCGUAGGUUGACAUAUAAGUCAGCUGUGAAAGUUUACGGCUCAACCGUGAAAUUGCAGUUGAUACUGUAUGUCUUGAGUGUACAAGAGGUGGGCGGAAUUCGUGGUGUAGCGGUGAAAUGCUUAGAUAUCACGAAGAACUCCGAUU